CGUAGGUAACCUGCCUGGUAGCGGGGGAUAACUAUUGGAAACGAUAGCUAAUACCGCAUAACAUUGACUAUUGCAUGAUAGUCAAUUGAAAGGUGCAAAUGCACCACUACCAGAUGGACCUGCGUUGUAUUAGCUAGUUGGUGGGGUAACGGCUCACCAAGGCGACGAUACAUAGCCGACCUGAGAGGGUGAUUGGCCACACUGGGACUGAGACACGACCCAG
rnacentral:rRNA from 1 species